GAAAAUGUGCUUUAGACAUGGCCGAAAUGUUCAUGUUUGAUUAUUGGCCCUUUGUGAAUCUAAUUGCAAGGCAUUGCCUUGUCGGCUAUACCCUGACACGCGCGAGAAUUUUCGGUCUUCGGUUUUGUCUUCUAAUUCUCUUUGCAUUUUGAGUUGACUGCUGUUGCAUUCAGAUGUGUUUUGCGUAUAGUUGCGUAAAAAUGAAAUAUUAUAAGGUAAGUGGAACUUAUUUGCAUUCAAUUAUUAAUUUUAAUUGCAGAAUUGACGAUUAAAAUGGAUGCGACUUCAACCUAGACGGUGUGAAUGGGAUUCAGUACGGAUUUACAAAGUUUUUUUAUCCAGUUUAAGUUGAUAAAACAAGUUUCUUAAAGGACCCAGCAGCCGGCAAAGGAGACUCGUGACACGCACUUAUGUACAUACAUAUGUACAUAUGUAUGUACAUAUGUACAUAUGUAUACAUGUUUAAUUUUGGAGAACAAUUUAAUGCUACCAAAAAAGUGAAGAUAAAUAAAAACAUGCAAU